AAUCGGUCGAAAACCAAUCUGUUGAACUGGAUUAGUAAUAGUCCGGUUCUAAGAAAACAACGUUGUUUUAUUAUUUAAAAAAAAACAAACAAAACCAGCCCAUUCAUGAAACACCCCCCUUUUCUCCGAAUCGAGGAUCAUUUGUGCACCCAUUGACCCCUUCUGAAGCAAAGCAAAGAGAAUUCUAGCUUUAGGUUCCUUGCCGCCGCCAUCCCCAGGUUCUCGCCGCCUCCACUUCUUCCUCUUCUCCCUGUCCGGAACUUAGGUAGCUCGACUCGUCGUCCCCAUCUUCCCUGGCUUCUCUAUUCGUGGCUUGGAGCAGCUCGCCGUUGGAUCGCCGCUUGCCGUCGCCUCGCCUAUCGCCGUGGUCUCGCCGUUGGGUCGCCGGUUGCCAUCCAUGUCUCCGUCGAAGGGCCAAAUUGAACUUCACAACUAUCUUACAAGUGUCUAUGAAGAGGGGGAUGCAAGAUUCACCUUAAUUACCAUGAUUCAAGCACUAAACCAUGCCAAACAUGGGGUUGACAUCCUAUCAGGCACUCAAGUAAGCACUAAACCAGGCCAAAUACGUUGGACUUUUAGAGUAGUGUGAUUAUUAUUCCAAGUCUUAGUUGUUGAACUUUUAUUAAGGAUAAUAAAUAUGCAGAGCAUACUUGUUCACUUUA